CUACAUUGAACACUGGAAUGCAGUUUCUUUGUUAUUCCGUUCAGUCAUUAGAAAGGCAUCUUUUCCCAACGGUAUUCAGUCAGAUGGGUGUAAAUCUAUACUAACCAUAUGCAAAAAAAUAUUUAUCAAAAUUCGGUUAUUUGUUUUGGGGGGAGAAACGCCAAACAAUCGAGAACUACAUGUCCCAUGGCGUGUUGGUUAUUUUUUUCCUGCACGCCGCCUCUCCCUCUGCCUGCGUGUUCCAAAGGAGGCUGUCAGGCUGAGUUCAGGGAAAACACAGAGCUGCCGAUCUGUCAAUCAUAAUUAGCAACCACAGGGAGUGAAACUGGGAGGAAGGUCGGUGAAAGGCUACGUUUUUGGGUGAAAAGGCAUUGUACUUUCCGUGAAACAAUUAUGCGUCGGAAAGGAGAGGAAAAUAAGUAUCCUAGUGUGCUUACAAAUAUUUGUUCUACUUUGGAAGGAAUUGCAUAAAAGCGCGUUCACUGAAAGCCAAACUCGGCGAGUUUCACUUGCAAGCAACUAUUCUGCUUGGAGUACGAAACAUAUCCAGAAGAAGGUAACCACGGACGCACGACACUUUGGGAUUUAAUUUGGCUAUUUAACACACUUCUUGACAAAAGAGGUUGAUACAUUUCAGAGGACUGUCGUAAAGUCGCUGUUGGUGACUCGCAGCGCAGACUAGUAGGAGGUGUGACGGUUCACUCAAAACAAUCUCGGCCCAAACAUCCAGACGGCGAGGAAGAAAGGAGGAAAGAUGAGCGGGGGAGAUGUGGUGUGCUCGGGCUGGUUAAGAAAAUCUCCUCCAGAAAAAAAGUUGAGACGUUACGCAUGGAAGAAGCGGUGGUUUGUUCUCCGCAGCGGCCGUCUCUCGGGCGACCCAGACGUGCUGGAGUACUACAAGAAUGAUCACGCCAAGAAGCCCAUCCGCGUGAUCGACCUCAACCUGUGUGAACAGGUGGACGCAGGGCUCACGUUCAACAAGAAGGACCUGGAGCACAGCUUCAUCUUCGACAUCAAGACCAUCGACCGCAUCUUCUACCUGGUGGCCGACACGGAGGACGACAUGAACAAGUGGGUCCGCUACAUCUGUGACAUCUGCGGCUUCAACCCCACGGACGACGAAGCGGCAAAGGCUGCCCACCAAGCGGCCAGCGGUGGCUCUGUGGUGGACACGCCCCCUCACCCUGGCCUGGGGGGUCCUCCGGCCAUGCUGACCAACGUGCCCCCUCCCUACCAGCCGGUCAGCGUGCGCCACCUGGGCUCGGAGUCCAGCCUGGACGAACCCCAGGACUACCUGUGGCUGGUCAACUGUGAGAGCAAGAAGCCAGAGCCCAACAGCUCUGUGACUCCUCUCCCCCAGGAGUACCUCCUCCUGGAGGAGUGUGAGAGCAAAGGGGCUCCUUCGCCUCCCCAGGUUAAUCAAGCCCACGCCGAGUGUUCCAAGUCAACCUCGUCAGAGACGGACCUGAACGACAACGUCCCCGCCCACCGCACACCAACCUCCACUAGCUCCUCCUCUAAGCACGCCAACGGCUUCUUCUCCUCUGUCCUGCCCCCUCACCCCUCCUCCGCCUCCUCCAUCUAUGACUCUCCUCCUUCCCGCGGAGGAGACCUCUCUUCCAGCCUCUACCACCUCCCCCGCUCCUACUCCCAGGACACUGUGCUCCUUCCCAAGUCAGCCUCCGCCUCCUCGCCCCCCGUCCCGGUCGAAGGCGACGCCCCAGAGCUCUACGUCUUCAACGCGCCCUCGCGGAAGCCCUCCAUGGAGACUCAGAUGAGGAACCUGUCGGUUAGCUACGAUAUUCCUCCCACACCAGGCAGUAACUGUACCUAUCAGGUGCCUCGAGGUCCAGCGAGUGGUGGGUCUGAGGGUGGGGAUGGGAUGCCACCGCCCCGGCCCCCCAAGCCUUCCCUCAGCUCCCUGACCCCGGGGCACCUGCCGCCCUCCGCGGAGCGCUCGCCUACGGACACGUACUGUGUGCCGCGCUCCAUGUCAGAGACUGAUGGGAACUACUGCGUGCCCACCAGCGCCGGGAACAAGGCCCUGAGGAGCAACACCAUCGGCACCAUGGACUCAUCACGCCUCAGGAAAGAUUUGGGCUCCCAGGACUGUUACGAUAUCCCUCGGACGUUUCCCUCUGACAAGAGCUGCUCGUUUGACUUCAACGAAAGCUUCAACAGCUACUUGCCUGCCUCUCUCUCUGCCCCCCCGCCCCUCCAGAAAAACAAAGGCAUGAUGCCAGUGGGCAGCCAGUCCAUGGAGGAAGUUGACCAGAACUACGUACCCAUGAGCUCCAACUCCCCGUCCCACCACCGCUCCGGCAGCCUGUCGGGCUGUGAACCCAUCAUGGAACCCAACUAUGUCCCCAUGACCCCGGGCCCGGGCACCUUAGAGUUCUCCCUGGGCAAGCAGGUUCCCCCGCCGGCCCACAUGGGGUUUCGCUCAAGCCCCAAUACCCCACCCCGCAGGCCCAUGCUCAUCAGCGAUUGUCAGCCACCGCCCGUGGACCGCAACCUCAAACCGGACCGCAAAGGUCAGAGUCCUAAAAUAAUAAGAGCAAAGGGGGUUGGUUUAGAGCGAACCGACUCUCAGACCGUAGGGGAGUUCCCAAGACGACGCAAGGCCAAGCCCGCCCCUUUGGAGAUCAAGCCCCUACCUGAGUGGGAGGAGUCAUCGGCACCCGUCCGCUCGCCUGUCACCAGGUCUUUUGCUCGGGAUCCCUCCAGGUUCCCCAUGCCCCCCAGGCCUCCCUCGGUGCAUAGCACCGCCUCCAGCACCGACUCCGAGGACUGUGAUGAGAAUUAUGUAGCCAUGGUCUCUAAGGCAGACGAACUCGUAUGUAACACACGUCCUCAACCACUCUCUUCUAAAAUAUUCAUGUUAAAUCAUACAAUGAUUUAUGUACAUUUUCCCCCAAAAACUUGUCACAUUAAUAAGCUAAUGUUCCACAUAGUCAGUAGCCAAUGAAUGUAUUACAAUUCAAUUAUAUAUAUUUUUUUAUUAUUCAUGGUCAAAUGCACCAUUUGCAAUGUAAUUUGUCUGAUGGCAUAUCUUAGUGGGCUGAAUAUCCAUAGAACAUCAGUAUGCAGAAGAAUUUAAAUACACUACAUAACCAAAGGUAUGUGGACACCUGCUCUUCCAACGUCUCAUUCCAAAAUCAUGGGCAUUAAUAUGGAGUUGGACCCCCUUUGCUGCUGUCACAGCCUCCACUCUUCUAGGAAGGCUUUCCACUAGAUGUUGGAACAUUGCUGCGGGGACUUGCUUCCAUUCAGCUACAAGCAUUGGUGAGCUCGGGCACUGAUAUUGGACGAUUAUGCCUCGCUUGCAGUCGGCAUUCCAAUUAAUCCGAAAGGUGUUCGAUGAGCUCUGUGCAGGCCAGUCAAGUUCUUCCACACAGUUCUAGACAAACAAUUUCUGUAUGGACCUCGCUUUGUGCACUGGGGCAUUGCCAUGCUGAAACAGGAAAGGGCCUUCCCCAAACUGUUGCCACAAAGUUGAAAGUACAGAAUGGUCUAGAAUUUCAAUGCAUGCUUUAGCAUUAAGAUUUCCCAUCACUGCCUAGCCGGGAACCAUGAAAAACGGUCUCAGACAAUUAUUCCUCCUCCACCAAACUUUACAGUUUGCACUAUGCAUUGGGGCAGUUAGCGGUCUCCUGGAAUCCGCCAAACCCAGAUUCGUCCAUUGGACUGCCAGAUGUUGAAGCGUGAUUCAUCACUCCAGAGAAUGCGUUUCCACUACUCCAGAGUCCAAAAGCGGCAAGCUUUACACCACUCCAGCCCACACUUGGCAUUGUGCGUGGUGCAUGCGGCUGCACGGCCAUGGGAACCCAUUUCAUGAAGCUCCCGGUGAACAGUUAUUGUGCUGACCUUGCUUCCAGAGGCAGUUUGGAACUCAGUAGUGAGUGUUGCAAUCAAAGACAGGCGUUUUUACGUCCUACACGCUUCAGCACUCAGUGGUCCCGUUCUGUGAGCUUGUGUGGCCUACCACUUCGCGGCUGAGCUGUUGUUGCUCCUAGACAUUUCCACUUCACAAUAACAGCACUUACAGUUGACCGGGGCAGCUCGAGUAGGGCAGACAUUUUAUGAACUGACUUGUUGGAAAGGUGGCAUCCUAUGAUAGUAAUGUUGAAAGUCACAGAGCUCGUCAGUCAGGCCAUUCUACUGCCAAUGUUAUGGCGAUAGCGUGGCUGUAUGCUUGAUUUUUAUACACCUGUCAGCAACUGGUGUGGCUGAAAUAGCUGAUUCCACUAAUUUGAAAGGGUGUCCACAUACUUUUGUCCAUAUAGUGUAGUUUGACUUCUUCAAACAUACUACUGUUUUUUGUUAGUGUGAUGACAUUGAAAUGAUGAGUCCACGUUUCUUGUUUCUAAUUUCUCAUGUUAGUAUAGUAUACCUAGUAAAAAUCAUAGUCCGUUAUCAUCUUCCUCGGCCUCCCAAACCUCAUCUUUUAUGGAGAAAGAGAUGGUUGCCACAGAAGGACUCCUCUUCAACACUUCUAUUUUCUUCACCUCUUCUGUCCUUGUUCAUCACUUGUCAUCCUGCUUUUUUGUCUUUUUCGUUUGCGCUUUCACUCUUUUCCCCCUGCAGGUAUUCAGUCCAUCUGGUGGACAUCUCCUUCCCCCUGCAGGUUUUCAGUCCAUCUGGUGGACAUCUCCUUCCCCCUGCAGGUAUUCAGUCCAUCUGGUGGACAUCUCCUUCCCCCUGCAGGUAUUCAGUCCAUCUGGUGGACAUCUCCUUCCCCCUGCAGGUAUUCAGUCCAUCUGGUGGACAUCUCCUUCCCCCUGCAGGUAUUCAGUCCAUCUGGUGGACAUCUCCUUCCCCCUGCAGGUAUUCAGUCCAUCUGGUGGACAUCUCCUUCCCCCUGCAGGUAUUCAGUCCAUCUGGUGGACAUCUCCUUCCCCCUGCAGGUAUUCAGUCCAUCUGGUGGACAUCUCCUUCCCCCUGCAGGUAUUCAGUCCAUCUGGUGGACAUCUCCUUCCCCCUGCAGGUAUUCAGUCCAUCUGGUGGACAUCUCCUUCCCCCUGUAGGUAUUCAGUCCAUCU